rnacentral:rRNA from 1 species
GAUGAACGCUGGCGGCGUGCCUAAUACAUGCAAGUCGAGCGAACGGACGAGAAGCUUGCUUCUCUGAUGUUAGCGGCGGACGGGUGAGUAACACGUGGAUAACCUACCUCUAAGGCUGGGAUAACUUCGGGAAACCGGAGCUAAUACCGGAUAAUAUUUUGAACCGCAUGGUUCAAAAGUGAAAGACGGUCUUGCUGUCACUUAUAGAUGGAUCCGCGCUGCAUUAGCUAGUUGGUAAGGUAACGGCUUACCAAGGCAACGAUGCAUAGCCGACCUGAGAGGGUGAUCGGCCACACUGGAACUGAGACACGGUCCAGACUCCUACGGGAGGCAGCAGUAGGGAAUCUUCCGCAAUGGGCGAAAGCCUGACGGAGCAACGCCGCGUGAGUGAUGAAGGUCUUCGGAUCGUAAAACUCUGUUAUUAGGGAAGAACAUAUGUGUAAGUAACUGUGCACAUCUUGACGGUACCUAAUCAGAAAGCCACGGCUAACUACGUG